UAAUACGGAGGAUGCGAGCGUUAUCCGGAUUUAUUGGGUUUAAAGGGUGCGUAGGCGGCAUGCCAAGUCAGCGGUGAAAUUUCCGGGCUCAACCCGGAGUGUGCCGUUGAAACUGGCGAGCUAGAGUGCACAAGAGGCAGGCGGAAUGCGUGGUGUAGCGGUGAAAUGCAUAGAUAUCACGCAGAACCCCGAUUGCGAAGGCAGCCUGCUAGGGUGAAACAGACGCUGAGGCACGAAAGCGUGGGUAUCGAACAGGAUUAGAUACCCUGGUAGUCCACGCAGUAAACGAUGAAUACUAACUGUUUGCGAUACAAUGUAAGCGGUACAGCGAAAGCGUUAAGUAUUCCACCUGGGGAGUACGCCGGCAACGGUGAAACUCAAAGGAAUUGACGGGGGCCCGCACAAGCGGAGGAACAUGUGGUUUAAUUCGAUGAUACGCGAGGAACCUUACCCGGGCUUAAAUUGCAAAGGAAUAAUCUGGAAACAGGUUAGUCUUCGGACCUUUGUGAAGGUGCUGCAUGGUUGUCGUCAGCUCGUGCCGUGAGGUGUCGGCUUAAGUGCCAUAACGAGCGCAACCCCUAUGGACAGUUACUAACGGGUGAAGCCGAGGACUCUGUCGAGACUGCCGGCGCAAGCCGCGAGGAAGGUGGGGAUGACGUCAAAUCAGCACGGCCCUUACGUCCGGGGCGACACACGUGUUACAAUGGCAGGUACAGAAGGCAGCCAGUCAGCAAUGACGCGCGAAUCCCGAAAACCUGUCUCAGUUCGGAUUGGAGUCUGCAACCCGACUCCAUGAAGCUGGAUUCGCUAGUAAUCGCGCAUCAGCCAUGGCGCGGUGAAUACGUUCCCGGGCCUUGUACACACCGCCCGUCAAGCCAUGGAAGCUGGGGGUGCCUGAAGUUCGUGACCGCAAGGAGCGACCUAGGGCAAAACCGGUAACUGGGGCUAAGUCGUAACAAGGUAGCCGUACCGGAAGGUGCGGCUG
rnacentral:rRNA from 1 species